AGGACGAACGCUGGCGGCGUGUUUAAGACAUGCAAGUCGCACGGGGAUAUUUUGGUAUUUAUAUUAAAAUGUCUCAGUGGCGCACGGGUGAGUAACACGUGAAUUACAUGCCCUUCAGUGGGGAAUAGCCCAGGGAAACUUGGAUUAAUACCCCAUGGUAUCGCAAGAUUAAAGGUGGCCGCAAGGCUGUCGCUGAAGGAUUGGUUCGCGCCCUAUCAGCUUGUUGGCGGGGUAACGCCCACCAAGGCUACGACGGGUACCUGGUCUGAGAGGACGAUCAGGCACACUGGAACUGAGACACGGUCCAGACACCUACGGUGGCAGCAGUCGAGAAUAAUUCACAAUGGGGGCAACCCUGAUGGUGCAACGCCGCGUGGAGGAUGACGGUCUUCGGAUUGUAAACUCCUGUCAUCCGGGAGUAAGGCAUGGUUGUUAACAGCAAACAUGAUUGAUAGUACCGGAAGAGGAAGGACGGCUAACUUCGUGCCAGCAGCCG
rnacentral:rRNA from 1 species